UGCCCUACUUCUACUGCAUACAUCCCCAUGUAUUUCUCCACUACUCUGUAAUACCGAUCCUAUGUACUUAAAACUAUUGCUUAUCACAAUCGUUUCCUCUAAAAAGAAACACAUUUUCCAAAGAUUCAAUGGAAACGUUCCCCUAAAUAUCAUAAAAAAUAUUGAAAACAUUGAAAACACUACCAAAAAUAUUCAAAAUAAUCAAAAGUCAGAAUAGAUGGAUAAUCGCUUGACGCAAAAUGUGUUCUGACGACUCUAACAUUAGUGACGUAUCUCCUAAAUGAGUAUAUAAGCGACACCGAAACCCAAGACAGUCAAAAUCUAAACGUUGUCUAAUCGAAUACAUCCUACAAGUUCAGUGUUAGUUGUCGUGAAAUUUUUUAAUCAACGCACAAAAUGUAUACGAAUCCGUUCAGCCGCACUCAUUGCCAAGUUCGCCAGGUUAUUGACCGAUUUUUGGAGAAGACCCUCAAAGUUGGUAACAAGAAUGGAUCCAAGCGAUAUGGUUCGGACAGUUCUUUGACUUCUUCGUCGUCGAAGAGUAGCACCUGGAGUUGCAGUUCCAAAAAUGCUUGCAACAAGAUCUUAAAAUAGAGCUCUCAGUUACGCCUAACCCUGGAAUAAGAUUAUGUUGUCCAAAGUGACCCAAUGAAAAAAUUUUUGCUGCUGUGAAAUGAAGAAUCAUUCGUGAAGAACGUUUUUGCGUUUUCCAUUUGGCGAUUUGAAAAAACUCAUUCGCAGUUACAAACAAGCUGAUAAUGCUUCAAGAUUACUUUAUUUACCAUGUAAAUAAAUACUGUAUGAAUAAUAAUAAAGAAAUUGUUUAUUAAAA